GCACAGCGGUUGGAGCUGCUGACGCUGGACUCAAGGUUUGAGGAUUGAAUCCCACUUGCUGCUGCAUCGCCCUUGACCAAGCUGGUGUUUGUCCAGGGUGUAUCCUGCAUAAUCCCGGACUGGCUCUGGAUCAUUGUGAUGCUGCGUUCAGAAUAUUUGUCAUUGGAUAUGAAAACAGUCGAUGUCCAGCAUGAACUACAGUUCCCAUCUUCAGCCCCUACCUGCGGAUCAAGAUAACUUCUCCAGAAGGAUUAUUUUGUGGCA